CCUCUCCUACAAAGGUGUGUCUGUGGUUCCCUAUCUUUGGACAUGUAAGCAUUGAAAGCAAAGAAACAUGGACUUCAAGAAGUCUGGAGCCAGCUUGCUCCCUGCAGGCUCAAGACCAACCAUCACACAUAG
ensembl:snoRNA